GUCUCCUGCAGGAAGAUUCUUUACUGCUGAGCCACCAAGGAAGCCAUAUGUGUAUGCAGAGCAUUGUGCCUCCACACUGGAUGGAGGAGAAGAGGCCAUGGCAGGAACAGGGCUCCCAGGAGACACUGGGCCUGGCUGAGGUCUGGUCCAGGUGUAACCAUGGAUGCCAUGAAGUCAGUCUGCCCAGAGUCCUUGUGGCUCCAUGUAGAGCUUUAGUUGCUCAUAUCCAUGACUCACAAUAAUCCACGGAGCCUUCACAAUCUGCUCUAAACUGCCUCUCUUGACGGGAUCGAGGAUGGGAAAUUUCUCUAGCAGAUUUUCAUGUUCAUUUGUCAAGAAUGGAAUGUGACGUGUUCUGCUCAGAACCUGCAUCUACAGCUGCUUGAGUUUCCAUCCUUGGAAAGGCCGGAAUCCAUCACACUGAGGACAGGAUGACUUCCUAUGGUUCUUCCCUGGAAGAGUUCUGGGGCAGCAUGAGGGAGACCACCCCAGAAGAUGUCCAGCUGGUUGUAAAAAAGUGAAUUUGUUGCUGAAGCCAAAGUCUGAUGUUCGUGUUUGCAUCCAAGAGCAGGUUUUCUGCUUGUAAGUCUCUGUGGACAGCACCCUCCUGGUGACCAGUCACACGGAGCACACUGCGGGUGGACUCUGCCGUCAGCCUCUCUGCUUUCCUACUGCCCUGAGCCACGGGUGCUCACCCACCUCUCCUCCACUAGCAUCCUCCAAACAUGAGUCAGAGUUUCAGCAUCUUUAAAUGUAGAAGUUGCAGCUGUGAGUUGAGCAAACAUGCCAUCUACUCUUUUUUAAGUUAA